rnacentral:rRNA from 1 species
CAAGUCUUGACAUCCCCCUGACGUGGCCGUAACGGGCCAUUUCCUCCGGGACAGGGGAGACAGGUGGUGCAUGGUUGUCGUCAGCUCGUGUCGUGAGAUGUUGGGUUAAGUCCCGCAACGAGCGCAACCCUUAUCCCCAGUAGCCAGCAGGUGAUGCUGGGCACUCUGAGGAGACUGCCAGGGACAACCUGGAGGAAGGUGGGGAUGACGUCAAAUCAUCAUGCCCCUUAUGAUUUGGGCUACACACGUGCUACAAUGGCGUACACAGAGGGAAGCGAGAGGGUGACCUGGAGCGAACCCCAAAAAGGACGUCCCAGUUCGGACUGUGGUCUGCAACCCGACCACACGAAGCUGGAAUCGCUAGUAAUCGCGGAUCAGAAUGCCGCGGUGAAUACGUUCCC